rnacentral:tRNA from 1 species
GAAGGGAUGGCCGAGUGGUCAGGCACCGGAUUGCAAAUCCGGGUACGUGAGUUCGAGCCUCACUCUCUUCUCCA